CAGCAACCAUGCGACUUUGAUUUUGUGUAGAUCCGGUUCAAUUAAAGACACAGACAGACACCUGAUGGACGGCCAUGCACAUAUUGGACCGGACGAAUAACUGAAGAGCUGAACAACUCACGACCUGGAGGAUCACAUGCACAACAUGCGCACUUCGCUGACCUCCUGCUGUGCGUGUCCAGACCAGAUGAAGACACUGACAUCAUCUACUGCAGAUUGACACCAGCAGGUGCACCAGACUUUCACAGUCUGAAGACUCCCUCUCAUCACAUUCACGACCACGUCACGUUCUUGUGCCUCUAAAUUUAAUUUCUGUUCCCUCUUGACUCAGAGGAGUCACACGGGUUAAUAACUGAGGUGAGGCUUGUUACCUAAUGCAGUCUUUGGAGGGUCGGGUCCACGAAGCAAACAUUUUCAGACAAAGAAAAAGAAUAUUCAUAUUCCAAGGGUUUGUCCCACAUUUUGAACAGCAAAUUGUGUAAGUCUCACCUCAUUUGUCCGAUUUCGUCUUUGGCGUCUGCUACUUCCUGGUUAGUGGGCCCAUUAGUUUAGGCUACCAAACUCUCAAAAUGCUGAAUAAAACAAUAAUAUAGAGUAGUGAAGUAUGGUUGUGGUUAAGUAUACUGACAGGGGAAGAAGUUACUGAGGAAAGACGUGUUCAUGUUGGCAGUGUGUGAUAUUUGGGGCUGCUGAAUCCAAAGAUGGAUUAUCAAUGGUUGCAUUAUCGUAGCAUUUAUAGCUUUGCUGGGCGAGUUACCUUGGAGCUGCAAGCACUACUUAUUUUGUUAACUCGAUUCACGUUUUUCUAGAAAAUGCCAGAAAAUUGUCUCAGAACCCAAGGUGUUAGCUUAACGUUAUUGGUUUUGUCGAGCCAACAGUCGAGAACACAAAGAUGUUUCACAACGAUCAAAUGUAUCAAAUCUGUUGAGAGUUUGGAACCAACAUUUAUUUUUUAAAUGUUUGCGUCUGAAUGUGAUUGAGCAAAAAUAUUACCAAAAUGUUACACUUAUUAUUUCAGGCCUGGACAGGUGUUUAUUACCUUUGCCUAAAUUCCUACUUCCACGCAUCUAAUUUGGAAACUUAUCUUUCCCCCUAUCAUUUUUGUAGUGCAUGAUCUUUUCCUAGACAUAACCAAGUGUGAUUUUUGCCUGAACAUAAGGACAUUUGUGGCAGGAAGGGAAAGUUCUCCCUUUUGCGUUUGCAUUUUAUUUUGGUUAGGUUUUUCCAGAUGUUGUAAUUAAAGUCCAGCCUGUGAA